ACUCCUACGGGAGGCAGCAGAGGGGAAUAUUGGACAAUGGGGGCAACCCUGAUCCAGCCAUGCCGCGUGUGUGAAGAAGGCCUUUUGGUUGUAAAGCACUUUAAGCAGGGAGGAGAGGCUAAUGGUUAAUACCCAUUAGAUUAUACGUUACCUGCAGAAUAAGCACCGGCUAACUCUGUGCCAGCAGCCGCGGUAAUACAGAGGGUGCGAGCGUUAAUCGGAAUUACUGGGCGUAAAGCGAGUGUAGGUGGCUCAUUAAGUCACAUGUGAAAUCCCCGGGCUUAACCUGGGAACUGCAUGUGAUACUGGUGGUGCUAGAAUAUGUGAGAGGGAAGUAGAAUUCCAGGUGUAGCGGUGAAAUGCGUAGAGAUCUGGAGGAAUACCGAUGGCGAAGGCAGCUUCCUGGCAUAAUAUUGACACUGAGAUUCGAAAGCGUGGGUAGCAAACAGGAUUAGAUACCCUGGUAGGAUAGCGU
rnacentral:rRNA from 1 species